rnacentral:rRNA from 1 species
UCCUACGGGGGGCAGCAGUGAGGAAUAUUGGUCAAUGGGCGGAAGCCUGAACCAGCCAAGUCGCGUGAGGGAAUAAGGCCCUACGGGUCGUAAACCUCUUUUGCCGGGGAGCAAGGGCGGGGACGUGUCCCGGCCCGGAGAGUACCCGGAGAAAAAGCAUCGGCUAACUCCGUGCCAGCAGCCGCGGUAAUACGGAGGAUGCGAGCGUUAUCCGGAUUUAUUGGGUUUAAAGGGUGCGCAGGCGGUCUGUUAAGUCAGCGGUCAAAGCCCGGGGCUCAACCCCGGCCCGCCGUUGAAACUGGCAG